ACUGCACACUGUUAAAGCUCAGGGAUGAGGCCAGUUUCUGACCAGUGACCUCUUGAGUGUCGGAAGUGUGCUACAGUGAAUGCAUGGCAAGAUGUUCGCUGACACCAGAAGAGGCUUCCCUCUGUGACUGGGGUUUGAUAGUAAUCACUGCCACAUGC
rnacentral:snoRNA from 1 species